rnacentral:hammerhead_ribozyme from 1 species
CACGAAACCGCCUACUGGCGGUCUGCUCGGCGUGGUGGCUGGGCACUGAUGAGUAACCAGAG